CAUCAGAUGGCUGAGAGCAAGCACUGGUCUUUUAACCCAGCUUACAGUAAGUUAGCAGAUACUUCUGAUGA
rnacentral:tRNA from 1 species